GACGAACGCUGGCGGCGUGCCUAAUACAUGCAAGUCGAGCGAACAGACGAGGAGUUUGUUCCUCUGACGAGUGCGGCGGAGGUGUGAGAAACACGUGUAUAAUGCACCUAUAAGACUGGUAUAACUUCGGGAAACCGGAUCUAACACCGUAUAAGAUAUUGAAGCAUAUGGUUCAAUAGUGAAAUACGGUGUUGCUGUUACUUAUAGAUGGUUCCGCGCCGCAUGAGCUAGUUGGUAAGGUAACGGCUUACCAAGGCAACGAUGCGUAGCCGACCUGAGAGGCGGAUCGCCCACAUUGGAACUGGACCACGGUCAAGACUCCUACGGGAGGCACCAGAAGGGAAUCUUCCGCAAUGGGCGAAAGCCUGACGGAGCAAGGCGGCGUGAUUAAUGAAGGUCUUGGGUUCGUAAAACCUGGUUAUUGGGGAAAAACAAAUGUGUAAGGAACUGUGCACGUCUUGACGGUACCUAAUCAGAAAGCCACGGCUAACUACGUG
rnacentral:rRNA from 1 species